rnacentral:rRNA from 1 species
UACGUAGGUGGCAAGCGUUUGUCCGGAUUUAUUGGGCGUAAAGCGAGUGCAGGCGGUUCAAUAAGUCUGAUGUGAAAGCCUUCGGCUCAACCGGAGAAUUGCAUCAGAAACUGUUGAACUUGAGUGCAGAAGAGGAGAGUGGAACUCCAUGUGUAGCGGUGGAAUGCGUAGAUAUAUGGAAGAACACCAGUGGCGAAGGCGGCUCUCUGGUCUGCAACUGACGGCUGAGGCUCGAAAGCAUGGGUAGCGAACAGG